UAUGCGCAUGCUCUGAGGACGGUAGAAUGCGCAUGCUCUGAGGACGGUAGAAUGCGCAUGCUCUGAGGACGGUAGAAUGCGCAUGCUCUGAGGACGGUAGAAUGCAUAUUGAGAUAAACCCUCAGUCUCAACCCAUGCGGUGUACAUGGGCUAAUCACACGCCAAUGUUUACAUUUGUUGUAAUGUUUUGUUAAUUUGCAGCCCCGCUAUUUUGCUUUUAAUUUUUCCGCUCAUUCUUUGAAGUUCAAAGAGAAAGAUGGACUCUUUGAUGGGAUUACCUGUGUAUUUUUCACUUGUAAUCCAGGUACGUCCUUAGAGAACUAGCCUUAUGUGUAGUCCUCCCUGUCUUUAGCUGACAGAGGUAUCCAGCACCUGAAACGCUGGAAGCAAACAUUUAGUAGUGCAGAACAGGCGUUUCAACUUCUUGAACGCAGACAUCAGACUCGGGCCCAGACGUUUAGGGAAGGAACGCUCAUCAAGGAGCCAGCAUGCUAAUGAGAUUUGGUGGUAAUUAAAAACAGCAUCUCAUUCGAACAUGUAAUAGGCUAU